GUAGUCUGCAACUCGACUACAUGAAGCUGGAAUCGCUAGUAAUCGCGAAUCAGAAUGUCGCGGUGAAUACGUUCCCGGGUCUUGUACACACCGCCCGUCACACCAUGGGAGUUGGGAAUGCCCGAAGCCGGUGACCUAACCGAAAGGGAGGAGCCGUCGAAGGCAGGCUUGAUAACUGGGGUGAAGUCGUAACAAGGUAAC
rnacentral:rRNA from 1 species